rnacentral:tRNA from 1 species
GCGGGAGUGGUGGAAUGGCAGACACGCCGGCUUUAGGUGCCGGUGUCUUCGGACGUGCGGGUUCAAGUCCCGCCUCCCGCACCA